GUGAGUAACACGUGGGCAACCUGCCCUGUAAAUUGGGAUAACUCCGGGAAACCGGGGCUAAUACCGAAUAAUCCUUCGGACCUCAUGGUCCGAUGUUGAAAGGCGGCUUCGGCUGUCACUACAGGAUGGGCCCGCGGCGCAUUAGCUAGUUGGUGAGGUAACGGCUCCCCAAGGCCACAAUGCGUAGCCGACCUGAAAGGGUGAUCGGCCACACUGGGACUGAAACCCGGCCCAAACUCCUACGGGAGGGCGCAGUAGGGAAUCUUCCCCAAUGGAAAAAAGUUUGAUGGAACAACCCCCGGGGAGGAAAAAUGUUCCGG
rnacentral:rRNA from 1 species